rnacentral:rRNA from 1 species
UACGUAGGGGGCUAGCGUUGUCCGGAAUCAUUGGGCGUAAAGCGCGUGUAGGCGGCCCGGUAAGUCCGCUGUGAAAGUCGGGGGCUCAACCCUCGGAUGCCGGUGGAUACUGUCGGGCUCGAGUGCGGAAGAGGCGAGUGGAAUUCCUGGUGUAGCGGUGAAAUGCGCAGAUAUCAGGAGGAACACCAAUUGCGAAGGCAGCUCGCUGGGACGUUACUGACGCUAAGACGCGAAAGCGUGGGGAGCAAACAGG